rnacentral:rRNA from 1 species
CAGUAGCCGCGGUAAUACAGAGGGUGCGAGCGUUAAUCGGAUUUACUGGGCGUAAAGCGUGCGUAGGCGGCUUCUUAAGUCGGAUGUGAAAUCCCUGAGCUUAACUUAGGAAUUGCAUUCGAUACUGGGAAGCUAGAGUAUGGGAGAGGAUGGUAGAAUUCCAGGUGUAGCGGUGAAAUGCGUAGAGAUCUGGAGGAAUACCUAUGGCGAAGGCAGCCAUCUGGCCUAAUACUGACGCUGAGGUACGAAAGCAUGGGGAGCAAACAGGAUUAGAUACCCCAGUAGUCCCUGUCUCUUAUAA